rnacentral:misc_RNA from 1 species
AAAGUCGUAACAAGGUUUCCGUAGGUGAACCUGCGGAAGGAUCAUUACAAAUCCACGUCUCUUUUGAGACUCGUUGAAACGUUUGGGGGAGCCGGACCAGUGCCUUAAACAGCACCUCAGUCCUGGCACCCUCUAAAAACCUGUGAUUAUGUUGAACAGAUGUAUUAAAUUAAAAUUUAAACAACUUAUAACAACGGAUCUCUAGGCUCUU